ensembl:snRNA U6 U6 spliceosomal RNA
GUGCUUGCUUCAGCAGCACAUAUACUAAAAUUGGAAUGAUAACAGAGAAUAUUGUUAUCACAACCCUGCACAAGAAUGAUCAAAUUCGUGAAGUGUUCUAUAUUUUU